GAUGAACGCUGGCGGCGUGCCUAAUACAUGCAAGUCGAGCGAACAGAUGAGGAGCUUGCUCCUCUGACGUUAGCGGCGGACGGGUGAGUAACACGUGGAUAACCUACCUAUAAGACUGGGAUAACUUCGGGAAACCGGAGCUAAUACCGGAUAAUAUAUUGAACCGCAUGGUUCAAUAGUGAAAGACGGUUUUGCUGUCACUUAUAGAUGGAUCCGCGCCGCAUUAGCUAGUUGGUAAGGUAACGGCUUACCAAGGCAACGAUGCGUAGCCGACCUGAGAGGGUGAUCGGCCACACUGGAACUGAGACACGGUCCAGACUCCUACGGGAGGCAGCAGUAGGGAAUCUUCCGCAAUGGGCGAAAGCUUGACGGAGCAACGCCGCGUGAGUGAUGAAGGUCUUCGGAUCGGAAAACUCUGUUAUUAGGGAAGAACAAAUGUGUAAGUAACUAUGCACGUCUUGACGGUACCUAAUCAGAAAGCCACGGCUAACUACG
rnacentral:rRNA from 1 species